UACGGAGGGUGCGAGCGUUAUCCGGAAUUACUGGGUUUAAAGGGUGCGUAGGCGGCCUGGUAAGUCAGUUGUGAAAUUCCCUUGCUUAACGAGUGGAGUUGCGAUUGAUACUGUCAGGCUUGAAUUAGGAUGAGGCAGGCGGAAUGUGGCAUGUAGCGGUGAAAUGCAUAGAUAUGCCAUAGAACACCGAUUGCGAAGGCAGCCUGCUGGGCCUAUAUUGACGCUGAGGCACGAAAGCGUGGGGAUCAAACAGG
rnacentral:rRNA from 1 species